CCUACGGGGUGCAGCAGUGAGGAAUAUUGGUCAAUGGACGGAAGUCUGAACCAGCCAUGCCGCGUGCAGGAAGACGGCUCUAUGAGUUGUAAACUGCUUUUGUACAAGGGUAAACCUGAAUACGUGUAUUCAGCUGAAAGUACUGUACGAAUAAGGAUCGGCUAACUCCGUGCCAGCAGCCGCGGUAAUACGGAGGAUCCAAGCGUUAUCCGGAUUUAUUGGGUUUAAAGGGUGCGUAGGCGGAUUGAUAAGUUAGAGGUGAAAUGUCCGAGCUUAACUCGGGAACUGCCUCUAAUACUGUUGGUCUAGAGAGUAGAUGCGGUAGGCGGAAUGUAUGGUGUAGCGGUGAAAUGCUUAGAGAUCAUACAGAACACCGAUUGCGAAGGCAGCUUACCAAUCUAUAUCUGACGUUGAGGCACGAAAGCGUGGGGAGCAAACAGGAUUAGAUACCCUGGUAGUC
rnacentral:rRNA from 1 species